rnacentral:lncRNA from 1 species
AGUUGCUUCCUGGGUGCUUACCACUGGUCGGUUUGCGGGCAGUCCGCUUUGUAGGAGCCGUGGUACAGAGACCUCCUUACUUACCCCCCUUCUCCUUCGGCUGGAGCUCGGCGAGCGAGAGGCGGCGCUGGCGUUGGAGAGCGACGGCGGCGCGGCGGCGCCUGCGAACACCAGGGAAGCAGCCUCUAACGUUUGAGGGUCAAUCCAGAUGGAGAGAAGAUAGAGGAGAAAGAGCCGAAUGUGACCCAACCAUAGGUCAUCUCUUGACUGGCAAACUAACUUUUCCAUCAGGAUCCUGAGGGAUAGAGAGGGAAAGAGAGGAGCAGAAGUGCAACCAUUGUCUCUGAAGAAGAAAAGUUUUGGCUUGCCUGUCUGUUGGUCUGUGGUUGGGAAACACUGUUCUUCACCUUAAGAUGCCCAUGGGAUCUUGGUCGUACAAGAGCAACAUGGCACAUGCUGAAUAUUUAGCCCAGCAUUAGGAAGACAUGGAUCCAAAAGUAUUGAAAAAAUGACCAGUGUGUGUAAAGGAGACUCCGAGAUUGACUACCAGACUUCUAGAAUGAUGUAACCAUACCUACAUAGAUUGGCUCAACAUAGGCAAACAUUAUUGGAGUCAUGGACAAGCACAGUGCAUACAACAUUUUGAAAAUUGAGGCCAGACGCUCCCUAUCAUCUCAGCAAAGACACUAAUUCAGCAGAGCUGGCCAGCGAAUCUUCGACAGGAAUUGAGGAUCUGAGCAACUGGGAAAAAAGGGAUGAAUGGACAUACAAAUAAGAGGAGAAGGAAAGGGGAAAGAGAUGAAGGAAGAGGAGAAGGAAAGGGGAAAGAGAUGAAGGAAGAAAAGAAGGAAAGAAGAAAGGAAGGAAGGAAAACAGAAAGGAAGGAAAGAAGGAGAGCAAAAUAUUUUCUGCCUAUCGCCAACUGUUCUUCAGAGAUCCCAGGCUCUUCACCACUCUGGCCAUCCUUCUCUGGAUGUGUUCCAGUUUGUCAAAUGUCACCCUUAAAGUUUGGCGUCCAGGAUUGAGCACCACACUAUUCCUGAUCUACCUUGCUCUGUGUCCUGAGAGGCUGGCUUGUAUGGCUCUCAUUAAGGAGUUCCCUUGCCUUCCAACUUCUGGAUGGGUUCAGCUAGCAGGAGGUCAGAAAUCAGGAGGAGAAUGUGGGUCUUUAUUUCCCCACUUUCCCCUUUGCUAGUUUGCCAUGAGUUGGCGAUGCCCGUGUUUCUCCAACUAAGGUCACAACUCCUGUCAGAUGGCCCUCCGCUACAGCUACAGCCACAAAAUUGGAUUUAAAGGAGGCACCAAUUCCAUGUGCUGAAGGGAAACCCACCCAUCCCAAGGUGGCAACACUACCCACUGCAGGAUUAAGGGUGGGAUAACAACAAGAAAACCUGGAGGAAUGGAGCAUAUGUUUCCUUGGACUUUUGUUAAAUUACCAUAUUGGAAAGAAAAUCACCUGAGAGAGCUAUCUCUUCCCAGCUUUGCUUAGGCCUGGUAGAAGAACAUUUAGGGUGUUUCUUUCAGGAGAAGCUACCAGAUACUAGAGAAGUAGGUACAGUGGGGGAUAGACUGCACAGAGAAUGCAGCCAUCUUUACCUGAGCCCCACUCAUUCCAAGAAUGAUUUCUUACCUAAUGAUCAUGCGUUCAUUCAACAGGAUAUAAUAAAUCCCUAUUCUUUGCCAAAAACUAUCUAACUUAAGGCAACAUAUUAGGGGAAAUUCAAAAGUAGCAUGAGAGAAAUGAGCAUCUACCUUGAGAAAAUUCCGGACAUCUACAAGAAAUUAUGAGAUUGGAAAGGCUAAGUUGAAGGAUUUGUGUAGCAACCAAUGACAGAGUUCAAGAGAAAAGAAAGUACAAGUAAAUUGGUGUUGACAGGGACAGCUUCCUUGUGAAUUCAGGUGGUGUGGGUAUGGGUAGCAGAAAUCAUCACAUGGUAUACAAUGAAAUGAUUACUGUGUGUAGCUUUGUUAAGAGAAAUUAUUUUGUUUCAAUGUAAUUUUAAACAUUCUUAAUAAAAAUAGAAUUCUGGUUCCUUUAAGAAAGGUAUAGCUAUAUAAUAGGUUAUUAAAAACCGCAAAGUCUCUAGUGGGAAGGGCAAUAACCUCUUCGAAGGAAAAUAAAACAUUGGCUUUAAAAAGGACAUUGGGGAGGGAUUGGAUAAAAGUGAAUGAAUUGGAAUUUUAUACAGUUGUGGAUUGUUUAGUAACCUUUUAUUGAUUGGAGCAAAAGCAAAGAAUCAUGUAGAAAGAAAUGUAGUAGGUGACCCUGCUUGGUUUUUUUCUUUUCUUUUUUUUUGAUUUUUGAUAAAGUGUACUAAAGAGUAAAUUGAAAGAGUAAGAGGACUUGAUGCCUUCUCACUCAGAGAAUCAGGAAAUUAGGUAGCUAUUUCAAAUGUAUCAAGCACUUACUAUGUGUCAAACACUGUGCCGAGUGCCUUGUAUACACUAUUUCAUUCAAAGUCCCUAGUAGUCCUGUAAGGAAAGACUUCCUAUUGGACCUCUACAGUUAGACCCAAGGUAAUUCCAUUCAACUAGUGCCAGCCUCAGAUAUGUAGGCACAGUAUCUGGGGAUACUCAUUCUCAGUGGGGCUGGCAUUGCAAAUGAGACUUAAGAGAAGAAUGGCACAUUUGCAAUAUAUGUUUAGGCUGGGAACAGUGAGAUGAGAGGCCAAAAAGAUGGCUUACAGUAGAGAGGCUUAAGUGCCAAGUGUGUGGGUUUCAGUUAUUUAUUUUCUUUUUUAUUUUCUGGGAUUAAAUAAUGGAGUAUACAUUUAGUUGGUGGUCAAAAAGCACAGUUAGCAUAUUAGGACUCUUGUAAUAAUUAGUUUUCCUCAGGAAAAAGGGGAAAGGGUUAUUUUCUCAUAUUUGAUUCUGUACAUUAGGCAAAAUAGUGGGAAGUGGAGGAGGAGGUUAUGAAGCUCUUGAAGGUCUUGCUGAAAACAUUUUAAAAUGGUUUUACCAACAUUCAUUUUUUCCAUUCAUUUAUUCUCUUACUUGACAAAUAUUAGCUGAGCACCUAUAAUGUGCUAGGCUUUAUAUUAGUUGCUGGGUUUAUGACAAAGUUUGAGAUACAGUUCCUGACCUAAAGUAUUUCAGAGAUGAAUUACAAUACAGCAAGUAUUUUGAUGAGAUGAGCAAAAGAAGGGGUGGGAGACUGAACAGAGGCUCAGUCCAGUCUCAGGGUUUAGUGGCAUCUCAACUUUACAACUAAGAAUCCUAUCAGUGAGAAAAAUAGAAGCUCAAUUUGAUUUUUUGUCAUGCCCUACUUCCUUUCUGAGCACUCCGUCUCUCCAGGAUAUAUGAUUUGAAAGUCUAUUAUUUCAAGAACAAGGGCAUUUGUCAGCAUUUAUGUGCCUCAGGGUCAGUCAGUAGUAGCAGCAGAGGGAAGGCCUUUAAGAGGGCUAAGUGCUACAUGUGCAAAGAUAGGGUUAAAAGAAUUCUGUUCAGAUAUCUCGUCUUCAGAGAUCAAUGCCCAAGAAUAGCCAGAAAGAAUAUUAAGUCUUAGAAGUAACUUCCUAUGAAUGACAGAUGUGGUGGCAGAUUGCAUCCCACUGGGAAAACCAACAUCAGCUACUCAGAAGAGGGAGCUUUUAAGGUUUGAGAUAUCGUUUCUGCACAUUGCAUAGGGCAGAAAACUGCCUUCUCUGAAUGGUAUGUCUCAUGCUAACAAUCGUAGCAAGUCCUAAUUCAAACAUUUUAGGCAAGGAAAGGAAGCAAAUUAACAUGUAUUGAUUGCCUACUGUGCUGUUUUCACAUGUAAACUCACAAUAAUCCUGGGAGAUAGUAAUCAAAAGUCUCUUUUUAUAGAUAAGAACAUCAGACUCAGAGAAAUUAAAUAUCUUAGUUGGGGUCGUGCAACUAUAAGAUGGCAAAGAUUUGAAUUCAGCUCCAAAUUCCAACAGACAGCAAUAAAGUUAUAUUCAAAGGGAGAUGUGUUUGGAGGGUGGACACACUUACGUGUUGAAAAUGUUUGAUUUCACUAUUCUGUUUUCCUUGCCUCCAAAGUAGUUAUGGUGCCCUGGGUAAUAGCUUGUGGGUGCUUAGGGUUAAUCACCAUAAAUUCCCUUUACAAAGAGCUGUCUUGAUGGAUUUGCCACUCUUGUCAAACUCUUGUGGGCACAAGCUAAUCAGGUCAUGAACACAGUAGUCAAGACCAGAGCCAAACAGAAACUUGUCAAAAAUCUUAACAUGACUGAAGCACAUUCACAGUGGAAACAUUUGAGGAAUAUUCACAACUGUUGAAGCUCCAGUUCAGUGUAGUUCCCAGCACUCUUUAUUUUCACUGCUACGCCUACAUUUUCAAUGUGUUUUGAAACUAUUUUAAAUAGGCCAUGUUACUGGAGUGGAAAAGAUUUUAAGGAAAAGGCUAUGCAUAAGAGUGACUUGCUGACAGCCCAUUAUGAGGCUUCUGCUGAAAGUCUACCCUGAAUUGACAGUAGAGAUAAAAAUCUAGAGUAACCUGGCCAGACUGAAACAUUCCCUUAAUGGCCCUUGAAACGAGUUUUGGGGAAAAACAAAAGUCCAAACUGUCAUACAUAGAAAGGUUGGUUGGGUCGUUUUUGUCUUUUUUUAAGUAAGAAGAAGGGACAGUGAAAAUGAGGUUUCAAGAUUGUUUGCCUCUGUUUCCACAAUUCUCUUUUCAGAUGGAUUAUUUAUUUUCCCUUCUGUAAAGAGAGACUACUUCUUGAUGCCUCAGUGUAUAUACACAGCCAUAUUUAUGACUUUUUCAUAUGGUGACUGAUAAUUACCCACUCUCAGUCCAUGUUCAGUUUUUUGAGUGGUAGUGUCAAGAAUUAGUCACAGACACAAUGGCUGCUGAUUCAGAUUGUGUGUCUUCUCUAUGUUAUAAAUUAUAAUCCCAUUUAUCCUGUACAUCACUUGACACCAGAGCAAGGCAAGAUAUUUGGGAGGACCCAAGUGAGUCUUUCAGAAUAAAAGAUUUGCCUUAAUAAUAGAAAU